rnacentral:lncRNA from 1 species
UUUUUUUAUUAUUUUAUUUUUGUUGUUAUCAUUUUGGUCCGAAUCGGGGUUCAAGCGUGUCGAGCCUAUCACGAAGACGGCCGCUCGGUAUGAUCAUAAGUCCAAUGAGGGUAACGAUCCAACGUCGAGAUUGAAAGUGUCGAGCCUAUCACGAAGACGGCCGCACAAUCAAAUCGGUUGGAGGCUCGUCGUCACAUCAUCCGCUCGCUCGUGCAGAUCUUUCGUCGGUGUUGGGGAGACGGAUGUUUAGUGAAUACGCGCGCACGAUAUAGUAACGAUCCAAUGCCGGAUUUGAUCGGGUCAAC